AGCAGCCGCGGUAAUUCCAGCUCCAAUAGCGUAUAUUAAAGUUGUUGCAGUUAAAAAGCUCGUAGUUGAAUUUCGGGGUUAGUAGGUUGGUCAUGCCUCUGGUAUGUACUGGUCUCACUGAUUCCUCCUUCCUGAUGAACCUUAAUGCCAUUUAUUUGGUGUUUUGGGGAAUUUGGACCGUUACUUUGAAAAAUUAGAGUGUUUAAAGCAAGCUAACGCUUGAAUACAUUAGCAUGGAAUAAUGAAAUAGGACGUUCGAUCCUAUUUUGUUGGUUUCUAGGAUUGACGUAAUGAUUAAUAGGGAUAGUUGGGGGCAUUAGUAUUCAAUUGUCAGAGGUGAAAUUCUUGGAUUUAUUGAAGACUAACUACUGCGAAAGCAUUUGCCAAAGAUGUUUUCAUUAAUCAAGAACGAAAGUUAGGGGAUCGAAGACGAUCAGAUACCGUCGUAGUCUUAACCAUAAACUAUGCCGACUAGGGAUCGGAUGAUGUUAAUUUUUUAAUGACUCA
rnacentral:rRNA from 1 species